UUUCACUGAUUUUGUAUUUAACGGUAUCUUUUGCAGUUCUAAUCCAAACAACGUCAAACUUGGUACUGCACUUGUGCCCGUAUCAAGACACCUGUCAAGUUUGAAAUCAAGCAGACUAAC